UGGUCGGUGAGCUGCGGGCAGAUGAAGUGCACGUGACAGUCGAUGCCACCGGCGGUGAGGAUCUUUCCGUUGCCCGCAAGGACUUCCGUGGACGGCCCGAUCACGAGGGCCGGGUCGACGCCGUCCAUCACAUCCGGGUUGCCUGCCUUGCCGAUGCCGACGAUCUUGCCGUCCCGCACGCCGACGUCGGCCUUGACGACGCCCCAAUGAUCGAGGAUCACCACACCGGUGAUCACCAGGUCCGGUGCGCCGUCCGCGCGCGUGGCCAUGCCCUGGCCCAUCGACUCCCGGAUCA
rnacentral:sRNA from 1 species